CUCACUGUAUAUACCUAUCCUUUCCCCAGGAAGCGUCAUCAUCCAUUGAUCUGCUACCCUGUUUAAAAGGCCUUCAGACCGUUGAAGAUGGUACGUUCUAACAGCUGCAUCUUGUGGAUUCACUGGCGUGACAUAGUGAUGAGAAUCACUCCCUGGCCUCUUGCUAUCCAAACAGCCUCCAGGCUGCCCAUCGAGGAUGACGAUAUGGUGUUCCUCAGGGGUGCAACCAACACUGUGGACCAAGUGGUGGUGCCAGUCAACAAAGAAAGUACUGUCGACCCAGCCUGAGUCACUCACCCAUCCAACGGACCCUGGAGGUGCUUCAACCAGCAGCUGUUCGUUCAUCCUCUGCGAGCAUAUUGAAAACAGAGCAGUUUCAGGUGGACUUUCAGGAAACCACAGGGUCAAAAGGGAUCCCUCUCAGCCUGCUCUCAACUGUGCGUUUGGUACACAAACUACAAAGGUAGGCACCCUCGCAAAAAUAAAGUGUGAGCACUACAGGAAGUCCAAUAGACUCCAAGCAAAAAGAGGGAAACGUAUGAAACAAACAUGGAAAGAGAAAAAGUAUUGAUUUGUUUCUAUAAUAUCUGUAUUAUUUUUACAAUAGAUAACACAGUUAUCAGUUCAUAGGGUCAGACUGGAUGUUGUUGAUUUCCAUUCUCAGAGCAAGGCAUGGUGGGAAACCAGCUGUGGAACACAGACUUGUCAUUCCGCCCUGAUUACAAGCCAAUCAAUGUUUGACCACCAUUAGUUGAUUGUGGUAUUUCUCCCUGGUCUAAUCUUUGAUAAUUACCCCUCUGAAUUACAUUUUUUUUUUCUGGAGUGAAGUCUGUACGUAUAAAGUCACAUACAAAAUGGUGUACCUCCCACCCAGGCAAUAGCUGUCAGUGCCGUUUCCACCACUCCUAAUUCACCCCAAUUUUUAAAUCUGCCAUUUAAAAUGCCAUGUGUUGUUAUUGUGUCAUGGUUGGCAUUCCUUUCAAAUUAAAACAUUCUUGUUGAACAGGACCCAUUCUCCACUACAAAACUGAACGGAUAUGAUUAACAACGAUGUGCCACCAGAGACGAUCAUGAUGAAUGUGUUUUCUGUGGUUAGGCACGUUAAGUAUGAGAAAACGGUCACUCCCCCACAUGUCAGAAUGCCAAGUAUUAUGUUGUGCUUCAUUCCCUGGAGCUUCUGCCCAUGCCAUACCAUAACAGCACACCACAGACCUGCCAUGGACCUUUCCCAGAAACACUGCUCCUUAACCUUUUACUGCACUGGGCUAAAUCAGGGUCAUGAAGUGUUUCUUGGUAGUCUUAAACACAUCUAAUUUUAAACCAAAGUAUACACCUCACACACAUGAUUAUGGGUAUAAAAUAUAUAUAUAUAUAUAUAUAACAAAAC
ensembl:lncRNA